rnacentral:misc_RNA from 1 species
AAAGUCGUAACAAGGUUUCCGUAGGUGAACCUGCGGAAGGAUCAUUACCAAAAGAAAAAAACAACCCCUCUUUUUUCCGAGUACUUGUCUCGGGGAGCUUUUCCGGGGGUCGCAAGACUCUUGGGAGGCUUUUCGAAAAAAAAGGCUCGGAAUUUAGACAACACCUUGUGAACUCAAUGUACCGUCCUUGGGGGGGAAGGAGAAAGUGAGGGAAACCUCGCCCGAUCCCCACCCCCAACAAGUCUUUGAAUCGUCUUCGGACGAGGAUAAGAACCAAAAAAAACACCAUAAAUCUCAACCAUUGAUGGAAACUUUUUGAUGAAAAUCAUAAACAACUUUUAACGGUGGAUCUCUUGGCUCGU